rnacentral:tRNA from 2 species
GCCUCUAUGGCGUAGCGGCAGCGCGUCUCACUCGUACGUCACCGUCUUAUGGUGUAUUAUGGCAUGAGAAGGUCGUGUGUUCGAUUCACACUGGAGGCA